rnacentral:lncRNA from 1 species
CUGCGUGCUCUCUCUGUUGGCUGGCCCUCUAAGCCCUGCGUGCUCAGUUUAGGCUUUGCCUUUCUAGCUGCUCCCUCAUCCGGUCCCUCUCCUGCCUCCUUCCCUCCCUCCCCUGUGUCUUGACUGUGGUGCUCAGCACACCAAGCUGAAAUUCUUGGUCCACGUGAUUCUCCCCCACAUACAGCCACAAGUUUCUUCUGGGCAGAAACUGUCUUGUUCAUCUGUGAAUCACCAGGUCCCAGGGCGAUGCUCACCACAGAGCUGGUGCAUGGGGCCAACUGUUAGAAGCUUGCUGAAUGAAUAAAGGAACCCACAAAUGGAAAGGACCAACUCCACAGGCCUCAACACAGACAUGCACCACCUUCCCAUCUCAUUCCUCCUGUGCUGAAGUCGUCACAGAGGUGGACACUUGCAUGAUUUGUGGGACACUAGCUGCUGCCAUUCAGGGGAAUGGUCACAUCUAGUGGGAAGGGAAUUAUGAAAGACGUUCUUGAAUAUUCACGAAGGACGGGCGACAGGACCCCUGUCUUGCAGUACAUGUUAGAAGGCUCUUGGGCCUGUGUGAUGCCUCAGCCUGUAAAGUUGCUUGCUGCCAAGCUUGAGGGACCCACAUAACGGGAGGAGAGAAUCGGCUCCCACAAAAUGUUCUGUGACCUCCACAACUUCAUUGGGGGCAUGCAUCCUCCAUACAUAGAAUAAAUUAAAAUGCAAUUUUUAAAAAGAAGGCUCUGUGUGCAGCUUGGCG